CCUACGGGUGACUGCAGUGAGGAAUAUUGGUCAAUGGGCGCGAGCCUGAACCAGCCAAGUAGCGUGAAGGAUGACUGCCCUACGGGUUGUAAACUUCUUUUAUAAAGGAAUAAAGUGAGGCACGUGUGCCUUUUUGUAUGUACUUUAUGAAUAAGGAUCGGCUAACUCCGUGCCAGCAGCCGCGGUAAUUCGGAGGAUUCGAGCGUUAUCCGGAUUUAUUGGGGUUAAAGGGAGCGUAGAUGGGUUGUUAAGUCAGUUGUGAAAGUUUGCGGUUCAACCGUAAAAUUGCAAUUGAUACUGGCGGUCUUGAGUACAGUUGAGGUAGGCGGAAUUCGUGGUGUAGCGGUGAAAUGCUUAGAUAUCACGAAGAACUCCGAUUGCGAAGGCAGCUUACUAAACUGCCACUGACAUUGAUGCUCGAAAGUGUGGGUAUCAAACAGGAUUAGAUACCCGUGUAGUC
rnacentral:rRNA from 1 species